UACGGAGGGAGCUAGCGUUGUUCGGAAUUACUGGGCGUAAAGCGCACGUAGGCGGCUUUGUAAGUUAGAGGUGAAAGCCCGGGGCUCAACUCCGGAACUGCCUUUUAAGACUGCAUCGCUUGAAUCCGGGAGAGGUGAGUGGAAUUCCGAGUGUAGAGGUGAAAUUCGUAGAUAUUCGGAAGAACACCAGUGGCGAAGGCGGCUCACUGGACCGGUAUUGACGCUGAGGUGCGAAAGCGUGGGGAGCAAACAGG
rnacentral:rRNA from 1 species